GGAAAAGCAGAUAAGAAGCAGGACAAUCAUCCAGAACUCAGACAUCAAAAGGACAUUGUUCACAUUAGUAACUUGAGUUAGUCGAGAUUAUUUUGUUUUCUUCCUCUGGGCUGCAUAUCUAUAUGCCUAUGUUCUUACUCAGGAAUGUUCAAAUUGAUGUUAAUACCAGAGUUGGUUAGAAAGGACAUAGUUUUCAUUCUACCACGGAAUGAAAAGGGGCUGCAUGGAAAAUGAUCCAGCCAAAGAAAAUUUGGGGGAAAGAGCUGUCUGCGUGUGAUCUACACCAGGCAGCCGGAGCGCUUCAGUCGAGCUGCACAGACGUAAACUACAGCUCCACUGUGCCAGCUGCCUCAGCUAAAAAUAAAGAUUACAAGAAAGUCAAAGAAAGGUGCUUCGACUUUGAGGAGCUUGAUGCUGCUGUUUCCAUGAAAAUCUUGAUUCCUCAAAAGACCUCUU